GCGUCGGGCGAGUUAUUGGAUCCAAGGCCUCAAUUUUUAUUCAGGUUUUAUAAAUGCAUUUUCAAUUAGAAACAGUACAUUUCUCGAAAAUAGUCAAAUCAUAAUAUACAGAGAAGCGGUUCUUUAUAAGCCGAGAUUAGGAUGAAGACAAAGGAAAAUAGGAUAAAAAAUUGUUAGAAUAAAAAAUAUUUAUUAUUUAAUUAUAAUUUUUGCUUUAAUGUUAAGUUGUUAUAUUAAAUUUGUAUAGUUUUUUAUAAUCCCAGCAUAUUCUAACUUUUAUGUAAUGUACAAAAAAUGCAUUACAAUAUUUAUCAAAAAAUAAAUUAUUUAUAUUUAUUUAUAAUAAAAAUUUUUAAUCAUUAUUAACAUAACUCUAUUAUCAGAAAAUAAAUUAUUUAUUA